GACGAACGCUGGCGGCGUGCUUAACACAUGCAAGUCGAACGGAAAGGCCCUGCUUUUGUGGGGUUCUCGAGUGGCGAACGGGUGAGUAACACGUGAGUAACCUGCCCUUUACUUUGGGAUAACUUCAUGAAACUGGGUCUAAUACCGGAUAUGAGCUCCUGCUGCAUGGUGGGGGUUGGAAAGUUUCGGCGGUUGGUGAUGGACACGCGGCGUAUCAGCUUGUUGGUGGGGUAGUGGCUUACCAAGGCUUUGACGGGUAGCCGGCCUGUGAGGGUGACCGGCCACAUUGGGACUGAGAUACGGCACAGACUCCUACGGGAGGCAGCAGUGGGGAAUAUUGCACAAUGGGCGGAAGCAUGAUGCAGCAACGCCGCGUGCGGGAUGACGGCAUUCGGGUUGUAAACCGAUUUCGCCUGUGACGAAGAGUGAGUGACGGUAAUGGGUAAAGAAGCACCGGCUAACUACGUG
rnacentral:rRNA from 1 species